UACGUAGGGCGCAAGCGUUGUCCGGAAUUAUUGGGCGUAAAGAGCUCGUAGGCGGCCUGUUGCGUCCGCUGUGAAAUCCCGGGGCUCAACCCCGGGCGUGCAGUGGAUACGGGCUGGCUGGAGGCAGGCAGGGGAGAACGGAAUUCCUGGUGUAGCGGUGAAAUGCGCAGAUAUCAGGAGGAACACCGGUGGCGAAAGCGGCUCACUGGACCAUUACUGACGCUGAGGCACGAAAGCUAGGGGAGCAAACAGG
rnacentral:rRNA from 1 species